AAAAUAAAUAAAAUCUUUAAAAAAAAAAUUGGAAUGAUACAGAAGAGAUUAGCAAGGUUCCCGAGUGAAGGUGAGACACAAAUUCGUGAAACGUUCUGUAUUUUU